UGCAGAGGGGGCAAGCGUUGUUCGGAAUUACUGGGCGUAAAGGGCGCGUAGGUGGCCUUCUAAGUCGAACGUGAAAUCCCCGGGCUCAACCCGGGAACUGCGUCCGAUACUGGAAGGCUUGAAUCCGGGAGAGGGAUGCGGAAUUCCAGGUGUAGCGGUGAAAUGCGCAGAGAUCGGGAGGAACACCCGUAGCGAAGGCGGCACUCUGGGCCGAUACUGACGCUGAGGAGCGAAAGCGUGGGGAGCAAACAGG
rnacentral:rRNA from 1 species